UGCUUGUAUCUAGGGAUCACUCUCAUAUUC
rnacentral:piRNA from 1 species